AACAAACGCUGGCGGCGUGCCUAAUACAUGCAAGUCGAACGGGGAAAGCUUUCGGGUGAGUACUAGUGGCGCACGGGUGAGUAACGCGUGGAUAAUCUGCCCUCGAAUGGGGAAUAACUAGUCGAAAGAUUAGCUAAUACCGCAUAAGACCACGACUACUGAGGUAGUUGGGGUCAAAGGAGCAAUUCGUUUGAGGAUGAGUCCGCGUAAGAUUAGCUAGUUGGUGAGGUAAUGGCUCACCAAGGCGAUGAUCUUUAACUGGUCUGAGAGGAUGAUCAGUCACAAUGGAACUGAGACACGGUCCAGACUCCUACGGGAGGCAGCAGUAGGGAAUAUUGGACAAUGGGGGCAACCCUGAUCCAGCGACGCCGCGUGAGCGAUGAAGGCCUUCGGGUCGUAAAGCUCUGUUGUAAGGGAAAAAGUUCUGAUGUACCUUACGAGAAAGGAUCGGCUAACUUCGUGCCAGCCGCCGCGGUAA
rnacentral:rRNA from 1 species